CCUUGGUCUUGACACCACAGUCUAUUCCACAGCAGCUCCCCCAGAUGGAGGGGGAGUACCUAGUAACUACCAACUUGCAGAAUCAGAUCUUCCAGAAAAGGAUGACAUCACAGCAACCCUCAGGAAGUAGUGCAGAGUUCCAUAAGAAGUGGCCGAGUUGUGAGUUCACACAUCUGUGCUAUAAGCACUAAGCAUCACAUGGGGACAGAGCUGGGACCUUGUGCUCCACGUCCGCCAAGAUUCCAGCCAGAGGACCUCCUUCCAUCCACUGGCAUCUGGAAAUUGGGCCACAAGGAAGGAUUUGAAGGAAUUCUUCCCCCACCAGUUAUUCCAAAUGGUCUCUGACUCUCCGUGUUGCCGAGGGCCAGUCCUUGUCCCACGUCAAUCCUGUAACAAGUGUAAA
rnacentral:lncRNA from 1 species